CUACAAUUGGGAAGACAGUAAUAUUGAAGAACAUUGUGAAAGCUCCAGAAGACAUGGAAGGCAUGAAAGAAGUCAUACUGGAGAGAAACCCUUCGAAGGUAUUCAAUAUGGUGAAGCCUUUGUUCAUCACAGUAGUCUACAAAUGCGUAAAAUAGUACAUACUGGAGAGAAACGCUACAAAUGCAAUCAAUGUGAUAAAGCCUAUUCACGACACAGCAUUCUACAAAUACAUAAAAGAACACAUAGUGGAGAGAAACCCUAUGAAUGUAAUCAAUGUGAUAAAGCCUAUUCACGACACAGCAUUCUACAAAUACAUAAAAGAACACAUAGUGGAGAGAAACCCUAUGAAUGUAAUCAAUGUGGUAAAGCCUUUGCACGACACAGUCAUCUCAAAAUACAUAUGGUUACACAUACUGGAGAGAAACCUUACAAAUGUGAUCAAUGUGGUAAAGCCUUUGCAUUCCAUAGUACCCUCCAAGUACAUAAAAGAACGCAUACUGGAGAGAAACCGUAUGAAUGUAAUCAGUGUAGUAAAGCCUUUGCACAUCAUUGUCAUCUCCGAGUACAUAAAAG
rnacentral:lncRNA from 1 species